CCUCUGGGCGCGGGGGGGAAGCCAGUAGAUGGCGUCGCGGGGCCCUGGCGGCCACGCCAACUUCACUUUACUAGGGUGCAAGAAUCAUUCUUCUGUUGGAUGAUGCAUCAUCACUCCAUCAGAAUUCUAACUUCUACAGAAUUUUCUACCACAAGUCAACUUGCCUGCAGCAGCCUUAUACAGAGUAGCCAGAAGCCAAGAACCUUGCCUUAGAAGAUACAGCUACUGGGGCUUCCCCGGUGGUGCAGUGGGUUG